ACAAAACAACGUUCCUCCAGGACACAGGUGCUGUGUCCAAAUCUAAUUAUUACUCUUCGAUUCAGAUUCAAAGCAAGAAUAAAUUAAUUCAUACUUUUAAUACCUGCCUAUACAGUACCUCUCGUCUCCAGCAGAAAUUAGCUCCGCCCACUUGCGCGUAGCCACUCUGAAUCGAACGCACCUCUCCAAUAUGGCGGACCAAUUACGCUAGCUACCUAGCUGGCACAUUUGCUUUAGUUGCUCCUUCCUUGUUGCAGUCGGAGGAAACAAAACCCCAUCAACCCAGAGCCACUAGUUUCCAGGGGACGUGUUUGCAGCUUGAAUUCCUCUCUCCAGCAGAGUUUUUUUUGCUACUACUUCGUUUCAUCAAGGUUGGAGGAAAGAGUCUCCAAGGUGACACAGCUUGGUGUCAAUAGGAGAAGGUCGCACGGCUUUAGAAGGCUCCAUGGUUUCAGUCUUUCACAGUGUGUCCAGUCCAGAGUGCAGACGCAUCGUGUGAUGGGUGGACUCGUCAACACCACGAGCAGCCGCUGGAGCGGAGGCACAGCCAGGCGGCUCCAUGCUCCAUGUUUCUCCCUGCGGUGGAAAGUUAAAUUUACUUUCACUCUUCAGCUUUGGAUCAUGG
rnacentral:lncRNA from 1 species